CAGUCGCCGCGGUAAUACGAAGGGUGCAAGCGUUACUCGGAAUUACUGGGCGUAAAGCGUGCGUAGGUGGUGGUUUAAGUCCGUUGUGAAAGCCCUGGGCUCAACCUGGGAAUUGCAGUGGAUACUGGGCGACUAGAGUGCGGUAGAGGAUAGUGGAAUUUCCGGUGUAGCAGUGAAAUGCGUAGAGAUCGGAAGGAACAUCUGUGGCGAAGGCGACUAUCUGGGCCAACACUGACACUGAGACACGGAAGCGUGGGGAGCAAACAGGAUUAGAUACCCCCGUAGUCCCUGUCUCUUAUAC
rnacentral:rRNA from 1 species